GAUGAAGAACGUAGCGAAAUGCGAUAAGUAAUGUGAAUUGCAGAAUUCAGUGAAUCAUCGAAUCUUUGAACGCACCUUGCGCUCCUUGGUAUUCCGAGGAGCAUGCCUGUUUGAGUGUCAUGAAAUUCUCAACCUUUUCAGCUUUCUUUGUUGAUCAGGCUUGGAUGUGGGAGUAUGCGGGCUUCUCAGAAGUCGGCUCUCCUGAAAUGCAUUAGCGGGACCUUUGUUGCCUGGCUUUGGUGUGAUAAUUAUCUACGCCAUUGUAGUCAAGCAGCUUAAAAUGAGGUUUCAGCUUCUAACCGUCUCCCCUGAGACAACAUUUUGACAAUUUGACCUCAAAUCAGGUAGGACUACCCGCUGAACUUAAGCAUAUCAAUAAGCGGAGGA
rnacentral:misc_RNA from 1 species